rnacentral:rRNA from 1 species
UGCGUAGGCGGAUAAAUAAGUCAGUGGUGAAAUCUUUCGGCUCAACCGGGAAACUGCCAUUGAUACUGUUUAUCUUGAGUUCAGUAGAGGUAGGCGGAAUGUGUAAUGUAGCGGUGAAAUGCUUAGAUAUUACACAGAACACCAAUUGCGUAGGCAGCUUACUAUGCGGACACUGACGCUGAGGCACGAAAGCGUGGGGAGCGAACAGGAUUAGAUACCCUGGUAGUCC